UGUGAGUGUGUGUGUGUGUGUGUGUGUUUGAGUGUGUGUGUGUGUUUGAGUGUGUGUGUGUGCAGGAGAAUCAUGAUGGCAGGAACAUGAAUAACUAUAACCACAUCAUCAUGUGACCUGUGACUUGAGAUGUUAUAACUUCUUCAUGUUCCAACAUCCUUGUACAUUUAAAUCAUCCUUCACUCUGUCGUCCAAUCAGAAAGCUCUCUGGGGUUUUAAGCUCCUCCUCCUUGGGAGCUCAGGGACACUCCCACAGAGUCUUGUCGUGAUGACAACCACUGUCCAAUCAAUAAUCAAUAUCCACCUUGGUCGUGCGGCUCUGACAUCAUCAUGUCUGAUCCUGUUUCCUGUUCCUGUGUCCAAACAGGAAGUGCUGCAAGUUCAACCUCACUCACAGACAGGAAGUGGAUGGAUCAAUAAAAACAUCAGUCAUGAGAUUAAUUAAUCGAUCGGCAGAAUAUUUGAAUCAAAUUUUGAUCUGUCAAUUGAUUGAACAUAUUGAUCACAGAACAGCUCUGACAUCAGUCUCAUUAUUGUUUCAUGUUCAUCAGAUCAAUAUUCUUCAAUAUUUCAUUUUAUAAAACACUUAAAUAUAUAUAAUGUAGAUAUAAUAUCUUGUUAUUAAUCUAUAAACUGAAGCUCUAUGAAUACAGGUCUGUCACCACGGGGCAAAAAGUAUGUGGACAGGAGCCAGAUGUUCCAGCCUCCGUCACGUCUGAUGUCACUGUGUGGGCGUGUCACCAGGAUGUGGGCGUGUCGUCGGGAUGUGGGCGUGUCUGUCAGCGGUGGUGAUGGUCUGUCAGCAACUCAGACAAGCAGCGAUGUGGAGAACGUUGGUGUGUGUGUUCGUCGUCUGUCUGAGCGGUGUCCGGGGGGAGGAGCCGCGAGCCGCCACCCGGCCAGGCUCCACCCUCCUGCUGAGAGUUGGCGAGGAAGCCACCCUGCGGUGCCCCCUGCUGGCUGGCGCCGCCCUGACAGGCUCCGCCUCUCUGAGUUGGUACAGGAAGCGGGCGGGGCGGAGUCCGGAGCUGCUGCUCACGCUGAGCUCCUCUCAGGUGAGACGUGGCGCCGAUGUUCAACCAGACAAAGUAUCGGCGGCGGCGGACGGAUCUCUGAGGCUGCGACGCCUCGAGCUCAGCGACACCGCCGCUUAUUACUGCAGUGUGACUGAGGGGGCGGAGCAACAGAAGGAGGAGCAAUGAGCUUCACGUUGAUUCUGUCGCAGACGAAGUUUUAAUUCAUCGUCCGAACGUCGAUGUCUCUUCGAUAAAACUGAUCAAUAAAAGUUUCUUUCUUUCA